GUGGGGAAUAUUGCGCAAUGGGGGAAACCCUGACGCAGCGACGCCGUGUGAGGGAAGAAGGCUUUCGGGUCGUAAACCUCUGUCAGGAAGGAAGAACCUCUCAAGGCUGAACAAGCCUUGGGACUGACGGUACUUCCAGAGGAAGCACCGGCUAACUCCGUGCCAGCAGCCGCGGUAAUACGGAGGGUGCAAGCGUUAAUCGGAAUCACUGGGCGUAAAGCGCGCGUAGGCCGCUUUGUAAGUCGGACGUGAAAGCCCUCGGCUCAACCGGGGAACGGCGUUCGAUACUGCGAGGCUUGAGUCCUGGAGUGGGUGGCGGAAUUCCGGGUGUAGGAGUGAAAUCCGUAGAUAUCCGGAGGAACACCGGUGGCGAAGGCGGCCACCUGGACAGGUACUGACGCUGAGGCGCGAAAGCGUGGGGAGCAAACAGGAUUAGAAACCCCGGUAGUCC
rnacentral:rRNA from 1 species